AAAAACAGAGUCUCCCAUUUUUCCAGUUUCUUGGUCUUCAUUCACAAAUCACAAUCGCUGGCGUUCCCCCGUAGUUUGUGACUUCGUGUGUCGCCGCCCUCCUUGGUCUCGUCGUCGCCGGAUCAGUCGAGAAGAAACAGAAGCAACCAGCAAUCGCCGCCUCUGGUUCGGACAUCGUCGUCUUCUUGCUUCGUCGCCUCCUUCUCGCCGGUUCCGUCGCCAAGCCGCUGUGUUGAUUUAGGUGUGGCUGUGCUGAAGCUCCGAACUCUGAAGCUGCUCCACCUCUGAAUCGACUUCUACUUCUGCUUCUCUGUUCAAGGGGAAAUUAUUCAGGUGUGUUGCUUACUCUGGCAGCAGCUAUGCGCAUUGUUUUGAGCUUAUCAAUAGUGAUAAGUAGGAAGAUGAUUGGGUCAAGAUUGGAAAUAUCUAGAUUUAUUGGAUAAUGAAAUGAGGAAAAAUUUGUGAUGUUUAUUUAUCUAUCAAGUAAGUAAGUUGUGUGUGAAUCUAUGUGGAUAUCAUAAGAGAAGAAACAUUGAAUUUCUAAGUUUGGAAGUGACCACUAUAAACUUGCGAAUCAUAAUUCUAUGGAAGAGAAGCGUAUUAAGGAGUGUUUCUUUUGUUCCGUAACAUGCUGAAUCAAUUGUGGAAGGCGAGAAACUCCAUGGUGUUUGAGGAAAAGGUGCUGCAGAUCGAAGAAGAUUGGGAAAAGCUAGAUCACUCUUUGAGGAAUUUUGGCAAACCCAGAUCAGAAAGGAAACGAGGACAAGAGGGAAUGAGCAGCAGCGUCCAUCAAUGCAAAAUUGGGAGUGCCCACCAGACUCUGUCCUGACUCCUGAAAGUUAAUGUUGAUGCUGCAAUCUUCAGAAAUUUUAAUGGUGGUGUGGGAGUGGUAGUUAGAGACAAUUGAGGCCAAAUAAUGGCAGCAGCUUCAUGGGUCAUACCUUACUCACUUGAACCCCGAGAGGCAGAGGCUUAUGCAGUCUUUGUUGGUAUAAAAUUAGCAAUGGAGUGUUGUUUUUCUAAUAUUACAUUAGAGAGUGACAAUAUAGAGGUUGUGAAUGCUCUCAAAAAAAGGAGGUAAUUUGAACUCUUGUUUUGGAACUUUCAUUGUUAAUGCUCUAGAUCUAGUAAGUAAUUUUAGAUAAGUUAGUUUCAAUAAUGUAAAGAGAGGUGGAAACAAAAUUGCUCAUGAAGUAGCACAAUUAGCACUUGUCAAUCCAAAUUCUCUGUGGAUGGAGAAUGCUCCUAUUCAUGUACUCAA